UAUGAACCGUUAUAACCGGCGAUACCCGAAUGGGGAAACCCAGUGUGACUCGUCACACUAUCAUUAACUGAAUCCAUAGGUUAAUGAGGCGAACCGGGGGAACUGAAACAUCUAAGUACCCCGAGGAAAAGAAAUCAACCGAGAUUCCCCCAGUAGCGGCGAGCGAACGGGGAGGAGCCCAGAGCCUGAAUCAGCAUGUGUGUUAGUGGAAGCGUCUGGAAAGGCGCGCGAUACAGGGUGACAGCCCCGUACACAAAAGCGCAUGUGCUGUGAGCUCGAUGAGUAGGGCGGGACACGUGGUAUCCUGUCUGAAUAUGGGGGGACCAUCCUCCAAGGCUAAAUACUCCUGACUGACCGAUAGUGAACCAGUACCGUGAGGGAAAGGCGAAAAGAACCCCGGCGAGGGGAGUGAAAAAGAACCUGAAACCGUGUACGUACAAGCAGUGGGAGCACAGGUUUACCUGUGUGACUGCGUACCUUUUGUAUAAUGGGUCAGCGACUUAUAUUCUGUAGCAAGGUUAACCGAAUAGGGGAGCCGGAGGGAAACCGAGUCUUAAUUGGGCGUUAAGUUGCAGGGUAUAGACCCGAAACCCGGUGAUCUAGCCAUGGGCAGGUUGAAGGUUGGGUAACACUAACUGGAGGACCGAACCGACUAAUGUUGAAAAAUUAGCGGAUGACCUGUGGCUGGGGGUGAAAGGCCAAUCAAACCGGGAGAUAGCUGGUUCUCCCCGAAAGCUAUUUAGGUAGCGCCUCGUGAAUUCAUCUCCGGGGGUAGAGCACUGUUUCGGCUAGGGGGCCAUCCCGGCUUACCAACCCGAUGCAAACUGCGAAUACCGGAGAAUGUUAUCACGGGAGACACACGGCGGGUGCUAACGUCCGUCGUGAAGAGGGAAACAACCCAGACCGCCAGCUAAGGUCCCAAAGUCAUGGUUAAGUGGGAAACGAUGUGGGAAGGCCCAGACAGCCAGGAUGUUGGCUUAGAAGCAGCCAUCAUUUAAAGAAAGCGUAAUAGCUCACUGGUCGAGUCGGCCUGCGCGGAAGAUGUAACGGGGCUAAACCAUGCACCGAAGCUGCGGCAGCGACACUGUGUGUUGUUGGGUAGGGGAGCGUUCUGUAAGCCUGUGAAGGUGUGUCGUGAGGC
rnacentral:rRNA from 1 species